rnacentral:sRNA from 1 species
UGUCAAGCCAACCCAUACUAGUACAUCAAUCUGAUAUUUUGCACGCUGAGGCCAUAUUGACGUCCGAUCGCAGGAGGGGAUCAAAUCCUCAAACAUCAGUUUGACCUCAAACUCUGUUCGCCGUGGUAAGAAGAAGUGGUAAUACGUAGUAGUAGUAAUAGUAGAGUAGUAGUAGUAGUGGUAGUGGUAGCAGAGGACCGAUGAUAA